GGGAGCGUGAGGAAAUGGCAGCCUGACCGGCUCCAACCCGGGCGCGUGCGAGUUCAAAUCUUGCCGCUCCUGCCA
rnacentral:tRNA from 1 species